rnacentral:rRNA from 1 species
CAGUUUCUAUCCUCUUUUUGAAAUGAGCUAAUUUUGUACGAAAGGACUUUUUCGCUAAAGCAAUGCUUUGUCACAAAUCUGUGGUUGCAUAAAUAAUAGUGUAUAAUAGGUUGAUUAGCCUAUAGGAAGGGCUA